UGUGCUGUCAUUGGGGAGUAGCCUCCCUCCUUCCUGCUUGUUACAGGAAUUGAGAGGGGUUUGCGUCAACACACUUGUCUGGCCUCGGAAUAUCGUUGAGAUACCGAGGCCAACAUGGCGCAAACGGUUCAGACUUGGCGAGACCUUUGACUGCACAGCCUCCGUUCAGGCCGGAGAUGCCGUGCAGUCAUGGGUUUUAUCCGGCCGGGGUCACU
rnacentral:sRNA from 2 species